rnacentral:rRNA from 1 species
AUAACGGUCCUAAGGUAGCGAAAUUCCUUGUCGGGUAAGUUCCGACCCGCACGAAUGGUGUAACGAUCUGGGCACUGUCUCAACUACCCACCCGGCGAAAUUGUAGUACCGGUGAAGAUGCCGGUUACCUGCGGCAAGACGGAAAGACCCCAUGGAGCUUUACUGUAGCCUGAUAUUGGGUUUCGGAAAUCUAUGUACAGGAUAGGCGGGAGACUUGGAAACAUGAGCGUCAGCUUGUGUGGAGUCGAUGUUGGGAUACCGCCCUUAGGUUUCUGGAAUUCUAACCUGCGGCCGUGAAUCCGGUCGGGGGACAUUGUCAGGUGGGCAGUUUGACUGGGGCGGUCGCCUCCGAAAAGGUAACGGAGGCGCUCAAAGGUUAGCUCAGCACGGACGGAAACCGUGCCUCUGAGUGUAAACGCAAAAGCUAGCCUAACUGCGAGGGUGACGGCCCGAGCAGUAACGAAAGUUGGAGUUAGUGAUCCGGCGGUAUGUGAAUGGAAAUGCCGUCGCUCAACGGAUAAAAGCUACCCUGGGGAUAACAGGCUGAUCUCCCCCAAGAGUCCACAUCGACGGGGAGGUUUGGCACCUCGAUGUCGGCUCAUCGCAUCCUGGGGCUGUAUUCGGUCCCAAGGGUUUGGCUGUUCGCCAAUUAAAGCGGUACGCGAGCUGGGUUCAGAACGUCGUGAGACAGUUCGGUCCCUAUCUGUCGUGGGCGCAGGAUAUUUGAGGAGCUCUGUCCUUAGUACGAGAGGACCGGGAUGGACGUACCUCUGGUGCACCAGUUGUCAUGCCAAUGGCACGGCUGGGCAGCUAUGUACGGAACGGAUAAACGCUGAAAGCAUCUAAGCGUGAAGCCGACUCCAAGAUUAGAUAUCCCAUCGUAUAACGAGUAAGACCCCUUGAAGACUACGAGGUUGAUAGGCUGCGUGUGUAAGUGCCGUGAGGCAUUCAGCUUGGCAGUACUAAUAGGUCGAUGGCUUGACCAC